UCUGCGGUGUCCUUUCACACUGCGAUGAGCUUGGGUCCCUCUGGAUCCCCUCACAUAGCCUCUGUGUGAAUGAUUUUCUUCCAGCAGCUAUACCUACAGCCUCCCAGGAACCUGCUGUUGGCCACUAGAUCUUCUCCAAUUACAUCGGGAGCUGAAGGUGCAUGAAAGUUCAUAUCACCCCGGAGUGGCCCAUGACAUAGCCUUGAGGGAGUAACCGGGAAUGAGUCGAUCAGGUGUACAAAGGCAUUGUUUGGAGGAGAAACAACUUCCCGGUCCACCAGGCUAAACAUCCCAGUUGCAGCAGCCCCAGCAGCCCCAGGAGGAGCCGAGCAGAGGAUCAGUAAAGCCCACAAGAGGAGAGCAGGGUGAGCUGCUGCUUGUUCUUGUCCUGCAGGGCCCAUGGCUCAAAGCAGCCAUAGUGGCCUUCUGUUCCUUAGGGUCACUCUCAAACACCACAGUCCCCUUCACUUCUGAAGGUGGAGCUGUGAACAACACUAAGAAUGACAGUACCUUUCUGCUGGUUAGGAAGGAUUGGGAAACAGCAAGACACACACUAACACCGCAGCGCUGCUCCACAGUGCCAUGCAAGGCAUGUGGGGUGUUCAGGAUCUGCACUCUCUGGACACGCAUGUGUCGCCUGUCUUACCUACAUUUUGGAGGGUUCUGAGACAGUUGCCCUGAUAAAUUCAAUCUCUGUCUAUAAAUAGGGCUAAGCACGCAUCUCCUGGAGUUUUCUUGUGGAUCAAAUAACAGCCUUGUCCUUGUCAGACCCACAUCUUUUCCAGGGUCACUCAGGUCUGCUCAGAUCCUGCCUCCUCCCCGAGUGGCACUGCUGAGAUGAGCCCGAAUGUGGACCUGAGUCCGGCUGGGUGCAGCAGCCCGCAUCCCUGAAUCACCUUCGAGGCUCACAGAUUUCACCAUGGCUAAAUAGUAGCAAGAGGACCACAGGCUGCCAGCCACUUUGCUGAAACUGCAGAGACAGUGUAAACUGCCACCUGCUCCUCUCCUCAGCUCAGAUGAAUGGACAGAGAAGCAACUGGAACACACUAGGGAGAAAACUAAUACACAGGUCUGCAAGGAAUACCAGAUGCUGGCCCCAGGAAGUCGAGGCUGGUUUGAUUCCCACAGGGAGGGAAGGAGCCAAGAAUGGGGAGUAGGGUAAAACAGUGGGGACAUUUUGUAUCCAUUGUCUCCUUGAAUUCCUUCCUCACUCUUCUGCAA